rnacentral:rRNA from 1 species
CCCGCUGAACUUAAGCAUAUCGAUAAGCGGAGGAAAAGAAACCAACAGGGAUUGCCUCACUAACGGCGAGUGAAGCGGCAACAGCUCAAAUGUGAAAUCUGGCUUCUUUCACGGCCCAAGUUGUAAUUUGUAGAGGAUGCCUUCGAGGUGUGGCCCCGGCCUAAGUUCCUUGGAACAGGACGUCACACAGGGUGAGAAUCCCGUAUGUGGCUGGAGGUCUAUGCCCAUGUGAAGCUACUUCAACGAGUCCAGUGUGUUUGGGAAUGCAGCUCAAAAUGGGUGGUAAGUUUCAUCUAAAGCUAAAUACUGGCGGGAGACCGAUAGCGCACAAGUAGAGUGAUCGAAAGAUGAAAAGCACUUUGGAAAGAGAGUUAAAAAGUACGUGAAAUUGUUGAAAGGGAAGCGCUUGCGACCAGACUUGCCCUCGGUUGAUCAACCGGUGUUCUUCACCGGUGCACUCGGCUGAGGUCAGGCCAGCAUCAGUUCAGGCGGUUGGAGAAAGACCUUGGGAAUGUGGCUCCCUCCGGGGAGUGUUAUAGCCCAUGGUGUCAUGCGACCAGCCUGGACUGAGGACCGCGCUCCCUGCUAGGAUGCUGGUGUAAUGGUCGUAAGCGACCCGUCUUGAAACACGG